UUUCUUUCCUCGGAACCUUUCAUUUUCUAGAUUACCCAGUCCACAUACAAUACCCAUUACAACAAGCAACCCAAAACAAUAUACGUAUCGCAUUACCAAAACAACCCAACAACUCCUGCACACUGUCGUCUUCUUCACGCGCAAAGCGAGGAAAACCCAUAAUUUCAGUCGCAAUCCGAGCGAACCUCGCGCGUCCUCUUCCCCUUUCUCUUAUCCUCUCGUACGAAAUGUACUCGAAUUUUCCAGGUUUUAUAAUCUCCUUACGACCUUGUCCUUCAUCCGAAAUCGAACGGCUCUCCUCUACAAUCCGUUGUUGGAUUUGGUACUAUUGCCAGCCGUUUUGAAACUUAUCCCUUCAAAAAAAAAUUUGAAUUUCAAACUCGAGCUUCAAAUCGAAUUUCCUCCCAUAAUCAGUCUAUUCUCCUUCUAUAAAAGCUCUCUUGUUUUUUCAUUGAAAGAGGAUUUUUUUUUGAAAAUUAGGAGACAUUUUCAGGUUGGGGAUUUUAGGGAAAAAUUUUCUUUUGCUGGAAACUCUUCACUAGAGGAGAUAUAGAAAAUCAGAGGGGUUAGAAACUUUCUUCUGGAGGUUUUCUUUAUAUUGAGUAUUCACUUUGUAAAGAAACCCAAGACACAAAUAUAGACUUGAGCCUUGGGAGGGUAGAAAAUAGGAGAUCAGAUUUGCUCUUGUUCGGCUCUGUUCUAAUUUUGUCGGAGUUUUCGGAGUCGCCUUCUAGUGUUGAAGUCGCCUUCUCCUGCUCGUUUGGUUCCCAUUCGCUGCCCCCUAAAAGUCUAGCCACGAAGGCUCAAACCUCUAUCCUUCGAGUUGGUCAUCCCACGAAAAAGACGUACAGGUUUCGGAGUUGGAAAGAUCCAAAAAUCCAAGGAGUUGAAGACUUGAGCUAAAAGCUCCAAUUUAUUUUCACUAAGUUUUGUAUUUUGUUCUUUUGGGCCUAAGCCCUCGUCAUUUUUGUAUUCUUGUUAUUAUCUUGUUUAGUUUAUGACAGGUACAAAGAAAAUGGGUCCAAAAAUCGAUCAAGGCGAACAGAAACCAGAUUUGGAUCCAAAUCCCUCUCCCUCUUUCUUAUUUCUUGUU